rnacentral:rRNA from 1 species
GCGCCGAAGGUAGGGCCGAUGAUUGGGACGAAGUCGUAACAAGGUAGCCGUAUCGGAAGGUGCGGCUGGAUCACCUCCUUUCUGG